UAACAGGGACUUUCUUCUUGUCAAAAUUUUAUAUCGAAUGCAGCUAAGUCAAUUUAUUAUGUCACACAAUUAAUUAUUAUCUUUAAUCCAGUCAAAAACUGGAACUAUUUUGCGAUAUGGUUCCAUUUCGAGCGGUGAUCUGGUUAUGCGACGCGUUUACCCGAAUAAUUCGCUUUCAGAAUCUGAUUAUUCUGUUACCAAUUUAAUAAUAUAAUUUAAAAAAAACAAAACUGUUUAGGAUUAUCUUAUUUACGGAAGAGAACGUGUAAUGGGUCGAAUGUCUCGUCAAUACAAUAUCAGACAUUCUGAGAUUAAUUUGUUUUUAUCGUUAGAUAAAUUUAUCGUCUCAAGGAAUGAGGCCGAAAGUUUUGAAACUGAAUCAAUCGGGUUGACUGAAAAAAAAAACAAAAAAAAAAAACCCUAAGCAUGUCGCCACGGCCAUGGCAUCAUUAUAUCUAACCUUUUAUGCUUUUAUGAAGUCAAAGAACACGUUGAUUUGUUUCGCGACCUAUACAUAGGCCUACAGUAUUUGUUUAAAGACCCAAACGAAGUUGAUUUGGAGAAAAAUAAAGCUCCUUAAGCAGAGAAAAGACACAAGAAUGUAUUGAUGUUGGAUGUUUAAGUUGAAAAAAUCAAACUAAAGACUUCAGCAGAAGUGAAAUGAUCCCAAAAAGAACUUAAGGGGGGAAUAUGUUUCAAGGAAUAAUGAAAUCUAGAGAAGAAUACCAGAAGAAAAAUGGUACAGGAGAAAUUUCAAGAUCUAGAUUGGUAAAAUGCUUUCUAGAUGGAGCUUAGUAAAUGCAUUUCAAGAUUGAGCUUAUUAAAAAUUGAAUUCUAGAAAUAGAAACCUUUGAUUACCGUGCACCACAAGCUUUUGCUUACGAUAAUGUCGAAUCAUUUUGGUGUUGCAGAAAUUGCAAAAGAGUGGAUGGCGUCAUAUCUACAAAACAGGAGUUUUCAUGUAAAAGUUAAGAAUGAUUUCUCCGAUGUAAAACAUGUAAAUUUUUCAGUUCCACAAGGUAGCAUCAAUGGUCCGAUCUACUUUAUCUGCUAUACCAGUACACUAGCAUCCUGCAUCAGACACAAUCAAACAUUAGUUGGCUACGCCGAUGACCACAGCUUGUAUGACAGUUUUAAAGCCGGAGAUCUUGAUGCAGAAUCUCAUAUUGCUUCCCGCGUAUCAGAGUCCUUAGACGACGUUAAAAUCUGGAUGCUGCAUAAUCGACUAAAGAUGAACGACGAAAAAACUGAGGUUAUUAUCUUCGGUGGUAGCCGUUAGCUCCACAAGUCUACCAUCCACGAAUUAAGAGUUGGGGAUUCUGUAGUUGGGUCUUCAUCCCGUGUUAAAUUCCUGGGGAUGCAUUUGGACGAAAACUUAAACUUAAAGAGUCAUUUUGCCCAGAAGACUUGUUGUGCUGCUUCGGCAAUGUUCAACUUGCGGAAAUUGAGUCCGUUUCUUUCGCGAGAAUCAUCUCUUCAAAUUGCCAGUUCUUUAGUUUUCUCCCAUAUGGAUUACAGAAAUAGUCUGCUCUGUGGUUUGCCAGCAACUACUCUUCAACCUCUCCAACGAAUUCAAAAUUUUACUGCAAAGCUAAUUCUUGGUGUUAAUUACGGCCAUAGCUCGACUGGUGCUCUGAAAGAACUUCAUAUAUUGCCAGUUGAAGUCCGAUGCCAAUUCAAGCUACUGGUACUGGUGUAUAAGUGUCUCCACAACCUUGCCCCUGUCUACCUUUCUGAAUUAUUGCAGUCCCAAACUUCAUCAUGCAAUAUGAGAUCGUCAUCAAAAAACAUUUAUACCCAAGACAAAAAGUAAAACAUUUGCAGACAGAUCGUUCAGUGUGCUAGGACCGCAGCUCUGGAAUACCCUUCCAGAAAGUGUGAAACAAUGUCAAAACUGUAACGGAUUUUAAAAAGAAACUCAAAACAUAUUUUUUUCGUAAAGCAUUUCUUUAACGUUUGUGUAAGACUUUGUGAAGCGCCAUUGAAUGCAUGGCAGUAAUGUGCACUAUAUCAAAUGUAAUAUGUUAUGUUAUGUUAUGUUAUUACAUCGUUUCUUCACAGACAGUUGAGUUGAUGAUAAUGUAACAAUAAAGAACUUUUUUCAUUGGAUCUUAUUAUUUCAUUACAAAUUUUGAAUGUAAAUACAUGUAACAUUUUGUUUUAUAUUUUGAAAUAUUGUAUAUAUUAUGGAAAAUUGUGAUAAUUGUUUAUUAAUUUUGAAAUAUCUAGACUGUGAUUUGGUUUUAAUUCAUGCAUAUGUAACGUAAUCAUUAUUGAUUA